rnacentral:lncRNA from 1 species
UCAGGCCUUAGACUGUCAAACUUGUUUCCCUCCAAGUUCGGGCUCCUGGCGCUAUCAACUUAGGUGUCACUUUGCCAGCCUCAGCACCAUGAACCCUGAAAGUGCAGGACAGGUCCCUCAAGAGCUCAGAGGAGGAGCAAAGAUAACCCACACAGCUCUGGGGUCAGAAAGUAAGUCCCAUCGAGCCUGGAAAUGGGUUGGACAUGCACCAUCACCUCCAAGAGCCACAGGGCAGAAGCCACCCCAUGCCCAGCACAGAUCAACAGAGCUCAAGAACUUUCUGGAAAGAGGGGUGUUAAGAAAUGAUGGAUGCCUAGCAAGACUCCUGGGGAUGGCACAGACGAGAAGGAGGCCCCAUCAGAGCUGGGGGCCACCAGGGAGCCCCACUUCCCAUACAACGGUCUGCGUCUUCUCAGAAGCUGGACAGGCUCAGCAGCUCUGCCUCCUGUCCUGGACGUGUGGCAAUAGCGAGGUCACCUUCUGCUUCGGGUAAUUUCCCUCGGAGGCGAGACAGAUCCAUUCUGUCCAGCUAUUUGUUUCAGUGGCGUAGCCUCCUGCCUCUGAUGGGGGCUGGGCCCUGGCGGGACGGAUGCUUUGUUCUUCUGACCAGUGCUGACAGUUUAAUUAAACCCAGCUUGAGACGGG